rnacentral:lncRNA from 1 species
CCCGGCUCCGCUGGGUACGCGACAGCGACCUCCGCGCCUGCUCUCCGCCUCGGGCUCGCGCUCGGGGCCGGGUGUGGAGCUGGAACAGAGGGCUGGCAAGGCGCGCAUGCGCACCGAGGGUGGAGCCGCUGAGCACAGAACCGGAAACUUAGAGACAAAGUUCGGAGCCCCGCCCCCGCCGCGCGCCGCUGAGUUGUCUGGCCCCGCCGACCCACGGCCCACGACCCACCGACCCACGAAUCGGCCCGGCCGUCGCGUGCACCAUGUCUGGCUCCUCCAGCGUCGCCGCUAUGAAGAAAGUGGUUCAACAGCUCCGGCUGGAGGCCGGACUCAACCGCGUAAAAGUUUCCCAGGCAGCUGCAGACUUGAAACAGUUCUGUCUGCAGAAUGCUCAACAUGACCCUCUGCUGACUGGAGUAUCUUCAAGUACAAAUCCCUUCAGACCCCAGAAAGUCUGUUCCUUUUUGUAGUAAAAUGAAUCUUUCAAAGGUUUCCCAAACCACUCCUUAUGAUCCAGUGAAUAUUCAAGAGAGCUACAUUUGAAGCCUGUACAAAAGCUUAUCCCUGUAACACAUGUGCCAUAAUAUACAAACUUCUACUUUCGUCAGUCCUUAACAUCUACCUCUCUGAAUUUUCAUGAAUUUCUAUUUCACAAGGGUAAUUGUUUUAUAUACACUGGCAGCAGCAUACAAUAAAACUUAGUAUGAAA